rnacentral:rRNA from 1 species
UACGUAGGGGCAAGCGUUGUCCGGAUUUAUUGGGCGUAAAGAGCGUGUAGGCGGCCAGGUAGGUCAGCUGUGAAAACUCGAGGCUCAACCUCGAGACGCCGGUUGAAACCAUCUGGCUAGAGUCCGGAAGAGGAGAGUGGAAUUCCUGGUGUAGCGGUGAAAUGCGCAGAUAUCAGGAAGAACACCAAUGGCGAAGGCAGCUCUCUGGGACGGUACUGACGCUGAGACGCGAAAGCGUGGGGAGCGAACAGG